GGUGGAUGUAUUUGGAAAAGAAGAAAAUUUAGGACAUUUGAUCAAAUCAUCUGAGCAGCUGAGCCUAGAGCAUUCCUACAGGAAGCUCCUCCAGUACAGAAGGUUGGGUAUAAAACCUGCAGCUCUGCUUUCCAGGCUUGAUUGUCUUCAAAUUUACGCAUCACAACAGCAAUUGAUGGAACUGGGGAGAGACCAGGAAUUCAGGUUCCAUUCCAGGAACUAAAAUACGCUUUCCCACAUGACGAUGGAGCAAGCUGGUUUUUGUAGCGGGUAAUUGGAGCACUUAGAAGAGCAGGCAGCCAGUGGUGUGAGUGCUCAGAGGAGCUGGGAAUUCUCAGAGGAGCUCUGGUGCUACUGUUUGCAGGAGCAGUGACCAGGCUUUUUCAGUGAGGACUUGACUUUCUGCUCAGCAGCUGGGAGGGAGUCUCUGAGAGAUUCAGGCUUUCAGUCCAGCUGAAGAGAAGUGCAGCCCUGACUGAACAGUUCAGCUCAGCACAAAGGGAAAUCCUCCUUUGUCAGUAAUCCCACAGCAUCUCUCUCCAAAGCUGUUUUCCUUACUUCCCAGUUUCAGAGUUAAAAAAACCAAGCCAGACCGAGUCGGACUCCUUUAGUUUCGCUGCAGAAGAAAAGCCCUUAAUCACCAGUGAAUGGCGGGUGAUUAACUGAUUGUUUCCCUGAUGCUAGCUGUAUGCCAAGGAGAUACCAAAGGAAACCCUCCAGGGUAAAGAGAUGGGCAGUGACACCAGAAACAACAUGCAAAUAAGAAACGCAGUGCACCCUGGAUUGUUACAGUUUUACAGUUUUUAUAAGAAAAACCCCUAAAAUCACGAGCCAUAAGUGACUUAAAGUGACGUCUAAGGAUGGGAGCAUUGUCCCGUACCUGCUUAAACCUUUUUAUUUCUCACUCUAACCUGAAAAGAAACUGAUUAAAGAGACCCCCCGGGUUUCUAAACCAACAAACCAAGGACUCAACGACUCUCCCGUGAGGACAGAGUCCCCAGUUCUGUCUGCAGACCAGCGGACAAAACUGCAUCAUCCUCCUGCUUCGUGCCACGCCUGGGAGCAGCGGCGGCGAGGGCGCAACCUGUCGAUUUCUUCCCACCUGAGCUGAUUCUUCUUAAUAAAGGCAUUAAAAAGGAGAAAGAUCUCCUGCCCAUUUAUUUCAGCUUGGGGACUCAUCCGGGAUAGCCACGCCUGAAGAGGACACCAGGACUGGGACGGCCGCCCACCCUGGACCUGCAGGACAGCUGGCUAUCAGGACCAGAGAAGAUCGGCUUGGGACAGUGACACGGAGCAGCGUUGGAUAGCACAGGAGACUACCUGGAACGAGAAAUUUGAAGGCCCCUUUCAGGUACUCCUCAUUGCUAAUUCGGCCGUGCGAACCAGAGAAAAAGGUUGGACUCACAUUACGAGAAUUAAAGGACCAGUCCCACCCCCGAGCAUUGGACAAAAUUCUUCAGUGUCUGGUAUUGGACCAGAUUCCACACCACUCUCACCCCCGAGCAUUGGACAAGAUUCGUCAGUGUCUCCCUCUGGUAUUGGACCAGAUUCUACACCACCCUCACACUCUAACUCAGGACAAGAUUCAACUGCAUCAGGAGUUAAUUCAGCUGAGUAUACUAUUAUAAAAGGACCAAAUGACUUAAAAUUGACAUUCAAAAAGACUGAUAAACUGCGUAAGAAAAAAGUUUAGAAUCAUAACAUGUCUUGAAGUGUUUUAAGAAAUUUGUAAAAGUUAAAAAUUGUUAAUAAGUAAUUCUGGUUAAGUCGUCCUAACUUAGUACCAAAGACCCCAGGUUAAUCUUCUCCAGAGUGCUCCCCUAGGAGGGACCAAAUUAGCAGGGACAGAUCAAGAGAGGUUUAACCAGAGGAGCAAGAGACUCUAAAGAACUUGGAGACUUCUUCUCAGCAAAAUCCUCAAGAGGCAAGGCCGGGUGGGCAGGCUGUGCAAGAUGACCCAUACCGGACUCUUGGGAAGGGUAGGAGUGCUGGCUCUGAUUGCUGGUGGUGCUCUGGAGAGCCCAGGAGAGCUGUGCAAUGAGUACUGCCAACCUUUCUAUGAGAAAGAAGUAAGCUCCUUGCUGAGAGUCCACAACAAUUGUGUUAACCUCUCCCAAUUGAUCUUUUAUCAAGAGAAUAAGAAAAUAUAUUGGAUGACCCGGAACACCGCCACCUUUAGGCAGCCACUCCUGGGAGAGCACCCUGUAGGAGAAACCUGGUGGUGCUUUGAACGUGAUGCUACUGAAGCAAACCUGGUAAAUCUGGUAAAAGGAAAAAGUAUUUCUAAAUAUUGGGAGGGCACGACAAAAAUUAAUAUCUUUCAGGAAACCCCUAAACACCUGUUUUGGGUCAAUGGUACCACAACAUCCACUGAAUUGCCAAGAAGCUGGUCUAGUGGUGGCAUCAUUAGAAUUAUAAAACAAACUGUCUUUAUAAUACACAAAGAAUCUGGAUCAAGUUUAAGAGUUCCUAUAUAUGAGGAUUUGAGAAAAACAAAACUGAAGGAACAAUAUAUGUUAAACAAAAUUUUGAAACUACAAUCAGAAUUAGAAGUAAUAUCUAAUCAGACCGCAUUGGCUCUUAAUCAUAUUAAUGACCAACUCAACCAAACCAAAACAGUAGUUUAUCAAAUCAAAUUAAUUGUGGCAGUCAUUAGAAAUACUUUAAACGAAAUAAAAGAACUAGCAUAUUUACAAAAUCAAAAGACUCCUACACUUGAUUCCAGUUGGUGGGAUAAUCUAUGGAUUUUCAAAAAAAGUUGGAAAACUAUAACCUUCACUGUGGGUACACUUGUUAGUCUGUUCUUAUUUCCAUGUUUAACAAAAAUAGUGACAUCUGCUGUACAGAAUAACCUCAGAAUCUCUAAAGAAAUUAACCUGAAAAAACCAAAAAAGGUAAUGAAGCUUAGUAAAUAUGAUCACCCAAGUGCUGAGGAAAUGUAUGAUCAAUACAAAAAAUAUAGGAAAUUCUAUGUUAAUGAACCAAAAAUUAUAAGCUGAUGCAAGCUUAAGCUUGAUCAAAGAAAAAUAGGGGGGAACUGUUAUGAAUAGAAAGUUGUAUUUUUUUUUUAAGUUUCAGAGUUAAAAAAACCAAGCCAGACCGAGUCGGACUCCUUUAGUUUCGCUGCAGAAGAAAAGCCCUUAAUCACCAGUGAAUGGCGGGUGAUUAACUGAUUGUUUCCCUGAUGCUAGCUGUAUGCCAAGGAGAUACCAAGGGAAACCCUCCAGGGUAAAGAGAUGGGCAGUGACACCAGAAACAACAUGCAAAUAAGAAACGCAGUGCACCCUGGAUUGUUACAGUUUUACAGUUUUUAUAAGAAAAACCCCUAAAAUCACGAGCCAUAAGUGACUUAAAGUGACGUCUAAGGAUGGGAGCAUUGUCCCGUACCUGCUUAAACCUUUUUAUUUCUCACUCUAACCUGAAAAGAAACUGAUUAAAGAGACCCCCCGGGUUUCUAAACCAACAAACCAAGGACUCAACGACUCUCCCGUGAGGACAGAGUCCCCAGUUCUGUCUGCAGACCAGCGGACAAAACUGCAUCAUCCUCCUGCUUCGUGCCACGCCUGGGAGCAGCGGCGGCGAGGGCGCAACCCGUCGAUUUCUUCCCACCUGAGCUGAUUCUUCUUAAUAAAGGCAUUAAAAAGGAGAAAGAUCUCCUGCCCAUUUAUUUCAAUUAUGACAGCUGAGUGCAUGCAGGAACUCACGUCAUCUCAACUGUAAAAAAACAGGUGGGCUGGGACCUGGGGUCCUUUUAUGGCUUCUGAAGGAUCAUUUGGCACUGCUUUGCCCCAGUGCUUGCCAUGCUGCACUCAUUUAGCUGGUGUG